UGGUGUCCAAGGCCCUGAAGGCCGCAGCCGCCCGUACCUAUCUCCAGCUGCUGCAGCUCCUGCUCAGGAAAGGUGGCCUUUCGCUCGGGGACUCCUCAGACCUCCCACUACAAAACAGAGAGCACACGUGGUGAGGAGGGAACAGGCCAGGCCUGGUGGCCUUUUCUGAGCAGAGGAGCGCCAGAAGUGGGCAGGGAGGGCGGCCCCUCGCACAGCCAGGACACGGUUUCAGAGGGCGCUGCGUGGUCUUCACAGGAGGCUUCUUCCUUAAGAUCAGUCCUCUCAUGAAAAUAGAACAGUAUUUCUUUUAUUCCCUUUUCCUUCCAGGUAACAGUUGCAAGUUUAAAAAUUAUAGAAUUGGCUCCAGAGAAGGACUUUGUUAAUAUUAAUAGUAUUAUAAAGGGAAGAUUUAAAAAUAGCUCUGGGGUAAUGCCCACUCAUAGCUUCCAGGAGAAUGGGCCUCGCUGACCCUCCAUAUCUUACCCUUCCCUUCCCGAUAGCCGGUGCUUCCCGAGGGGGCACUAUUUCUCUGGAGCUGGGGGCAGCAGUUCAGCCGUUAUAAAUGGGGGGCCAUUAUAACACCAUCUACGCUUGGGGUGGGGGCUAUGUAAGGUCUCUCUCCUGUUUUACUCAUUCCCUAUUCGUUCUCCUCACCACUGCCUUUCAAGCCCUGCCACUUCCCUCCCUUGCACCCCACUGACGUUCUAUCUUAAGUAGACAUCAAAAGUGCAAUAUGUCACUUUAGGUUCCACUGAA